UGGGAUGUUGAUUUGUUAAUAAUGGCUAUCAUCAAAUAGAAAGAAAACACUUGCUUAUUAACUGUUGUAGUGUUGAUGUGCAUGUAUAGAUAGAACAAGUGCUAUCCUUAUGUGCUUGGAGGGAGCCAUCAUGCAUGUGUUAACAAUAUUUUUGACUCGUCUUGGAUGGAUAUAUUUAAUCUAGCUGUAUGUUUGAUUGUCAGUUGUUUGCUAUGCUAGCUAGACAAAUGGGCGUUUCUUUUAUUUUGCUACGCUAGCUAAUCAGUUUCUGUAGCUCAACAAUUUUUGUUAUUUCCUAGGACGCAUCGGAGAUGGGACUCGGCGCAAAUCACACCUACUGUCCCUCCUCUGACGCCUCUGGUGAACACUUCUUCUCUGACUAUGACCUAGGUGAUCCAAUCGCUUCCUUUCUUUUGCAUGCUUACUCUCCUGACUUGUGUGCACAACCAUCGAGUCGUGGUAAUUGUAUGCUGGCCAUUGCCCCAUGGACAUUUCUUGGGAUGGGUUUGGGGCUGUGGUGAUGGUGUCCCACAUUUCUGUUUUGUGAAUGAACGGCGACCAAAAUAUUUUCCUUGCUAUGGUUGCGGCUGCAUUGUGCCAUCUUAUUUGGUACUUCCGAUUGUUAUACAUGUUCUGAAUCCGCGAUGCUCAAGGUCCCAUGUAGUUUUUAAGCUAAACUUGAGGCAGAAAAUGUUUUUGGAAUAAACUAGAUGCAUAAAAUUAUCACCUCUGACAAAAAAAAAGUGUAACCUUUGACAGCUUAAUUCACAUACUAGCUCAUAUAGUAUUUUUUUCUAGGAACUGGGUCCAUGGUUUUUUGGGUGUCUAUUUGUUGCUUCCCUUGUUGAUGUUGUAUUGCCCAGCAAAACAAAACAGUCUGUGCGGUUUUAUUUCUCCUCUUGCUCAGCAAGGUUGUUAAUGACCACUGAUGAGUAGUAUAUAGUUUUAUCUUCCGGCUACGAGUUUCCUUGAUUUUUAUGUGGCACUGUGACUCGUUGUGUCCCGAGCACUCAAAUUUCUUUUGCGAUAAUCUCCAAAGGGUUUGGGAUCUCUUAUGUUGCUCCUUCAUGAGUAGAUGGAUGGAACAUUUGGGCUUAGGAUCUUGCUGCAUCUCUCAACACUCUUCAGUCUCUUCAGGCUGUAGUUGGCAAGGAUAAGCAGUGAACGAUAUAUCUAUUAUUUACCAUCUCUAGGUCACAAUUUAGGACGUUUUCAAUAUUGAUAGCUCAUUGUUUUGAAAUUUGACUAUCAGUUCCUAUGAAAAUUAUGUUUCUUCAAAUUGAACCAAAUAUUCAUUAUAAACAUAUAUUUCAAAAUAAUCUAGUAGUAUUAAUAUGUUGAAGUUGUUGUUAUUUGUUAUAUAUUGAUAGUUGUGAUCAACCUUUAAAUUCAGGUCCUGCAUUUGGAUCUCAUUGCUGCUGCUUUGGUUAGGCGGCAAUUUAGAAACUCUACAGCAGUAGGCACGCGCGAGCGCGUACUUGCAUGUCACGCUAAUCAAGAAUGAAGCAUAUAGUUAGUUCAUAUUGUGUCUGUAAAGGCUAGCUUGCCUAGUUAGGGCCCGUAUCUUAUGUAUCUUAGUGCUUUUAAUCCUCCGCUGAUGUAUCUCCCAUUGUGGUCGAUCCUUGCAGUUUGCCUUUGCAUAUUUGCACUGUUUUGUCUGUAUUAGCUGCCUUUGCCAUUGCAUACUCAUGGUUUUCAUGUGCCAUUGGCUGUUACAAGUGGCACUUCGAGUUGUUUAUUUACCUUACUAAGUAAUAUUCCUUCCAUGAGAUGAGGUUUGCCUGCAACAGUGGCUGUGGUGGCUACCUCUUCCUUGG
rnacentral:lncRNA from 1 species